GUCACAAAUUUGAGGAACCAGCCUUUAAGCAGCAGCCAUUUGGACUCUAUAAACAAUCAAAUCCUCUCCCUUUACCAUGACCUGGUUACGGGGUCCAAGGAGUUUCCUCAUAUUGCAGUCAGGGGAUUGUUUCACUCAGAGCAGAUGACGACAACUUUUACUGCUGUGCUGAAAAGUCAGAGGGAGAACACCACUCCAUCUCCUUCUACAAGCUCACCAGCUGGUAUGAUGGUGCUGCCUGCAGGGUGCCACUUACAUUCUCAGAUCCUGACUCCUGUACUUCCAGACAAGGUGGAUAUUUAUGCACUGAAUACAGACCGGAGGAACUGUGUCCACACCUUGGUGACGGCCUCAUCGUCACUAGAGUAAUCUCUGCUCUUGAUCGCACAGAAGACAGUGAGAUGACAAACCACUGGAGAGUCACGGACUACAGCUCAGAGGCAGAGUUAUCAUGUCGGAGUUCUGCCAGUUUCUAAAGACGUUUAGACAGGGUGCGAAGAGAGAGGCUACAGAGGACGAGAGCAGGAGCCCCACUCCACCAAGGAAACUGAAGCCUUCCCUGGAGAACUUAUUUUCUCAAGACUCUUUAAGUUUUAAGACUUUGGCAUUGAUUCCAUCAACUGCGUUGGACAUAUGGCAGGGCUGUGACUGGAUGUUGAACCAGGGACAUCUAUUGUAGAGCCAACUGUAAAUCGGUGCAAAAUGAAGUAAGGAUCCAUAAAGACAGUGCCAAGUGGAUCGGCAAGAAUCAAGAAAGUGAUGCCAGCUUUUCAUUUUUCAUUUCCGGUUCUGGUCUCUUCACUGUGCUGUGCUCCACCACUCCUGCAACCUAGAACUGGUCUAGUAACUUGUGUCUUACAGUAACAUAAGUGCUACAUAGGGGCUUUAGCUGUCUAGCUCAAAUUUCUCUCUACGAUGUAGGGUUUGGAUUUUCUCUCCUAAACUGAUCGUCUGGCAGUCUCCGCCGGUCGAUCUGCCUGAGUGUAUGUUUUUCUGUUUUGUUUUGGCUCCCCUGCCUUCUCCUGUAUGUGUGUUUUCCAGUGUGCCAGUUUAUGGGCGUCAUCAGGCCAGAAGGUCUUUCCCACGCUGAAGCCAGCCACACCUGUCUUUCAUCUAGAUUCCAGGUGCUGCUGAUCACUUUCGCAAAGUGGUUACUAAACUGUUUGACUGAGCUUGAGUCAACGCUGGAUCGUUCAGUUAUCGA
ensembl:lncRNA